UCCUACGGGAGGCAGCAGUGGGGAAUUUUGCGCAAUGGGGGAAACCCUGACGCAGCAACGCCGCGUGGAGGAUGAAGUCCCUUGGGACGUAAACUCCUUUCGAUCGGGACGAUUAUGACGGUACCGGAAGAAGAAGCCCCGGCUAACUUCGUGCCAGCAGCCGCGGUAAUACGAGGGGGGCGAGCGUUGUUCGGAAUUAUUGGGCGUAAAGGGCGCGUAGGCGGUCGGAUAAGUCUUGUGUGAAAUCUUCGGGCUCAACUCGAAGUCUGCACAGGAAACUAUCUGGCUUGAGUGUGGGAGAGGUGAGUGGAAUUCCUGGUGUAGCGGUGAAAUGCGUAGAUAUCAGGAGGAACACCUGUGGCGAAAGCGGCUCACUGGACCACAACUGACGCUGAGGCGCGAAAGCUAGGGGAGCAAACAGGAUUAGAUACCCUGGUAGUCCUACGCCCUAAACGAUGAUCGCUUGGUGUGAUCGGGUACCCAAUCCCUCCGUGCCGCAGCUAACGCGUAAGC
rnacentral:rRNA from 1 species